rnacentral:misc_RNA from 1 species
GCAACAGAAUUUCUAUCGUUUAUGGCGAUGUUAAGUUUACUUGGGCGGAGACAAGACGAAGGUGCUUACAACUUGCUUCUGCUUUUACUCAUCUUGGAAUUUCUCGUGGCGAUGUCGUUGCUGUCUUGGCUCCAAAUAUUCCUGCAAUGUACGAGCUUCACUUUGGAGUACCAAUGGCUGGGGCAGUUCUAUGUGCACUUAAUACACGUCAUGAUUCUGCAAUGGUCUCUGUGUUACUUAGACAUUCCGAGGCCAAAGUCAUAGUUGUAGAUCACCAGUUGCUCGAUGUUGCUAAGGGUGCAUUAGAAAUUCUAUCUAAGGCUAGCAGAAAGUUGCCGCAUCUUAUCUUGAUAUCUGAUAGAGAGAGUCAGUUAUCUAGCCAGAAUAAUAGUAAUAGGAGCUUGGGUUCAAAAGAU